CUGCUUAGCUGGUAAAUUAGUUGCUGCUGGGGAAGCUGUGAUCGGAGACGUCUUAGGCAAUGCUGUUUAAUAUCAGAGACAAAGGCACUCGCACGGCGAGACCAGUUGAUUUAAAGCGGUAAAGACAAAGUGAUUCAAAAACAUGCAAAACAAAAAGCCUUCGCAGAAAAAAAGAUAGAAAUGUAAACCUUUGAACUAUGGUAACCCAGUGAACAGCUGACAUCCGCUCUUAACGGAGCCAGAAGCACAAUUUGCUGGUGAUACUAAGUGUUUCGGUAGCAUAUAGAAGUAAACAUGAGCAACCUGAAAUUUUGGAACCAGCUGGAAGCGGGUAGUUCUGAGGUGGACUGGUGUGAAGGCAACUACCUGAUUUAUUCUGGCAUUGCGGAGUUCUACAACACGAUCAGCAACAUAUUGUUUUUUAUUUUGCCACCUAUUUUAAUGUACUUGUUCCGUCAAUAUGCAACACAUUUCAACAGUGGAAUAUAUCUAAUAUGGACUCUGCUGGUUGUGGUUGGUAUUGGGUCUGUUUACUUCCAUGCAACAUUGAGCUUUCUGGGCCAGAUGCUGGAUGAGCUUGCAAUCCUCUGGGUUUUGAUGUGUGCCAUUGGCAUGUGGUUCCCCAAGAGAUUCUUGCCAAAGAUUUUCAGGAAAGACAGGGCUAGAUUUAAAGCUGUCAUUGCCAUUCUCUCUGGGAUUACAACAUGCCUCGCAUUUGUCAAGCCGGCAAUAAACGCCAUAUCUUUGAUGAUCCUGGGAAUCCCUUGCACAGUGUUACUCAUUACUGAGUUAAAAAGGUGUGAAAAUGUGCGCGUAUUCAAGCUGGGCCUGAUUUCAGGUUUCUGGUGGACUCUGGCUCUGCUGUGCUGGAUCAGCGACAGGAUUUUCUGCGAGAUGUGGUCGUCUGUUAACUUUCCAUAUCUUCAUUGUGCAUGGCACAUCUUGAUCUGCCUGGCUUCCUACUUGGGCUGUGUCUGCUUUGCCUAUUUUGAUGCGGCCACAGAAGCCCCCGAGCAAGGUCCGGUCAUCAAGUUCUGGCCCAGUGAGAAAUGGGCCUUCAUUGGCGUGCCAUAUGUCACCCUGCUCUGCGUGCAUAGGAAAUCAUCAGUGAAGGUGACAUAACUGUGGUGGCUUUGCUGAGCUUCAUGCACUGACUGCAGCACACAGUGUAUGGUUCUCGUUCAUUUUUAUCUGACUGCCCUCAUUUUGUCACUGUGACUACGGCAAAAAAAAACCAAAUGUUUCUCGUAUAUAUAGAUGUACAGUAUUGUAUAGAUGUUCUUUAUAAACAUAACUUCUUUUUAUGUUGCAACUAAUGCCUACAUUCUAUAUAAAUGUAUAUUUUUGUUACAAAGACCACUGAGCAUAAUGACCCCACUUCAAUUCCUACAACCUGGAGAUAUCUACCUGUCUGUACUUCUACAUUCAUAAAGCUUUAGCACACCCAGUUCAUUCAUUAUACUGUAAUUGUUCUGAUACAAAUUCACAACGGACUAACUUGUCCCCAGCUAUGCCCAUUGUUAAUGAUUAUGUUUCAGUUUUACCCAACAUGUGCUAAUUCUGCACUUCCAAAGCUGUGUGCAGUGUUUUAUCAUGAUACACUAAAAAUGUUUCACAAGUCUUUAUGGCCCUUGAUUGCCAGGGGCUUUAUUUUAUAAGUCUGAAUAAUAAUCUGUUUAUACAGACGGUUUACCUUAAACAGCUUUAAUUUAUAUGUAAUUAAUAUGCAAUAAUAUACAUGUUUUAUUUUACCUUAAUCUUUACGAUCAUACCAACAAGGAGGCUGUGUGGUCCAGUGGUUAAAGAAAAGGGCUUGUAACCAGAAGGUCCCCCGGUUCAAAUCCCACCUCAGCCACUGACUCAUUGUGUGACCCUGAGCAAGUCCCUUAACCUCCUUUUGCGCCGUCUUUCAGAUGGGAAAGUAUAGCCGGCGGAAUCUACACGUUUACCUUAACCAGAUGAGCAUGAAACAGUCAUCAUAAGGACAAGUUCUUGUGGCUAGGCAUUGCAAGGAGUAAAAUGCACAGCAAGCCUGGCACUGGAAACCUGGGCUGGAAUUUGACUGCUGUAUCAAGUGGAAAGAGUUUGGUGCAGCUCAACUUGGCCCCUGUACUCUAUGGAUUUGAGAUUCAAAAUAAUGUGUGCUUGCUCUUGUCUUUGAGGGGGCAGUGCCCAAAACCCUGGAAUAAAGCACUUCUCUUUUGGAGUUCCAUCAUUGUUUAGGGCUCUUUCAGGUUCUUUGACUCAUCACUAAACCUGCCAAUUGUACACCAGCUUUCAAUCUCUGUUCGUAAUGACUGCAUUAAACACUGCCUGACUGGAGUGGAGAUAUGGGGGAUAUCCAAAGCUUUCCUAGGGUAAACCGUAGGAAAGCUUUGGAUAGAAUGUGUAUCUAACACCAUUUGCCUAUGUAACCCUCAUCUAUUCUUUUUAUGUAAUUAUUUGAUUUGUAACAUUCUAUCUUUCAUUUAGAAUUGUUCUAAUUAUGUAUUACAAAUACAUUUCCCCACAUUGUGCAAGGACUUACAGGCUUCAUAUUUAACUUGCAGUGAAUCAGAAAAAUGUGUACAGUACAAGAUUACUAAAGAUGUCAUUGACAUUCAAGUCAACAUGAAAAUAGAACUGUCAUAAACAAUUGCAACUCCCUUGUGAGGAUAAUGCUCUGCUAGUCGGAGAUAAGAUCAAAUAUUCUUGAGCUUGUCUCCGGUCUCGGUUCUAACCCCCUUAAUGUUAAUAUAAUACUUAAAGAAUAUAAUACAGUAAGAAAGAAAGCUGCUAUGCUUGAAUGUGUGCAAACAAACAGUAGUAAAUCAUACAUUCAUACAGCUGUUAAACUAUUUUAUAUUACUGGUAAAUGUUAAAUUACUGUACAACUGAAUCUCAAAUUCCUGGUUGUUCCAUAUUCAUCAGCAGUGAGAACAGGUUUAACGUGUGCAGGAUAUCUCUAUAUUUCCCUAUUGUGGGAAGAUGACUGGCUACAUCCCCCUUUGUGAACCCUCUGAGACAAGCAUCGGUCACACCUUGCAGAGACUUAUAGGAAGCACUGUGGACUACAAGGUAAUGGAGGAAUUACCCGUAGGCAAGACUUCAAGAUCUUCAAACUGUUCUUAGGAAGCAGAUGGGAUUUGUUGAGUUAUAGGCAGUUCUGAAGCUUUUCUUUCAUAGCUUAUCUGUUGUCUCACUUCAGACUAAAGGUAACCUUUGGAGGAUUUCUACUACAACCCCUGAUGGCAGUCUCCCAUUUCGAUUUCUUUCACAAUAACACUAUAUUGUACAAAUACUUCAGUCCAGUGGUCCUCACUUGUGUCUUUAGCUGUUCCAGGGCCUUGUUCUAGCCAUGUUCUUGUUCAAACAAGGAGGCUUGGAACAAGGGCCUGCAUUGGAAUCAACUGAAAAAGCUACAAAUGAGUACCACUGCUUUUUCUUGCUUCAAUCCCUUGACCUUCCUGUUGUCUAAACAUUAUUAGCAACAGUAAAGGCAUAAUAGAAGAUCUUUUGAACCACAAGGUGGCAGUAUAACGCCAUAGGCAUUUUUUUUGUUUUGUUUUAAAGUGCAUGAUUUAAUGGUUCUGGCUAAGAGAGUCCUGUAUGCACAUAUUUUAAUUUCAUUUUAAAUCUGUUCUAUGCUCUCAGUCUCACACAGUCUCUCGUGUGGUAUUAUUCUGCUUCACAUCUGCAUUUUGUGCUGCAUAACUUCAUGGCCAAAGUGUUUGACUUCAGGGCAGAAGAUUUGAGGGUCAUGUAUUAUUGAUUUUAUUGCAAUCUAACCAGCUGUAGUAUAAGGCAACAUGGUUGUCCUUAUCUGUAUGUCAUCUAGUUUCCUUUGCACCUCAAGAUAAUAACAUAAAAGCAGCUUUAUUUACAAAGUUUUGCCACAUGCACAUCAGUAUUGGAAUGCAUAUCCGAAGGGAGAUAUAAUGAGUUCAUAUAUCUUGGGCAGCAGUGUAGAGUAGUGGUUAGGGCUCUGGACUCUUGACCGGAGGGUCAUGGGUUCAAUCCCUGGUAGGGGACACUGCUGCUGUACCCUUGAGCAAGGUACUUUACCUAGAUUGCUCCAGUAAAAACCCAACUGUAUAAAUGGGUAAUUGUAUGUAAAAAUAAUGUGAUAUCUUGUAACAAUUGUAAGUCGCCCUGGA